rnacentral:rRNA from 1 species
CACGUAGUUGGCCGGUGCUUCUUCUGUACCUACCGUCACGUUAGCUUCGUCGGUACUGAAAGAGGUUUACAACCCGAAGGCCGUCAUCCCCCACGCGGCGUUGCUGGAUCAGGCUUCCGCCCAUUGUCCAAUAUUCCCCA